CAAAGCUUAAGGAUUUCGUUAAGUGUCAGAAUUUCCUCUCAGUAUGUUUAUAGUAAUUUUGAUAUGUCUAAUAAACUAAUUUAUAAUAUAUUUCUAUUUUACUGUUAAAUUUUUAAUUCUUUCUUAUUUUUAUCUGAUUAUAUCAUAAAUAAAAGCAUUAAUAGAUUACUUACAAAUUGGUGGACAUUUAGCCUACUGGUGAAGAUGCUCAUCACUCACAAAGGAGCACUUAGGUUUGAUUCUAUGGGAUUGAAGAAAAAUGCACACCCAUUUGAGAUUUAUUAGUUAUAGGAAAGAAAGAUAUGUCAAAAAAGGUCAAAUCAUGGGGAUUCCCAGAUGGUUAAAUAGGGGAAAGAUGUAGUUAUUUAGACAAGGGGAAAAUAGCAGAAAAAAAGGCAGAUGUGCAUUCCAAGGGGAGAGUUGGAGAGAAAUUUGCAGAGGAGAUUCUACAGGAGGAGGGACACCAUGAAUCAGCAUAGAAGGUAUGGAUGUGCAACAAAUGUGAACACCACAUAUGAUCCCCACAACCGAAAGCUCAAGGAGACAACAGCUUUGGAGAAUGAGGAGAGAGGCAGCAGCCCAUUGGUCAAAUUGCUGUAGGGAGAGCCUCAUAGACUACAUUGUCUUUGAGUCCAUCCUGGAGUGUGAACUGGGGGCAGAUUAUCUGCCUAACCCAGUGGAAAAAAAAGCAGAUAUCUUUUGUCCCAUAAGCCCACAAUUGUGCCUGGCACCUGCCAGGGAGAAGGAGCCAUUCUGAAAUCAGUGGCAGCUGGGUGGCUCUUUGUGAACAUGUGACCCAGGGAUCUUAACACAGGAAUGUGUGCAUUACCCACCGACUUUGAGUCUGGAUGAAAGGGUUGUUAGAGUCUAGGGACCCACAAAGGACUGUGAGGUCCCCCAGCCUCUCAACAUACCACAGGCUCCAGGGUUCAGAUUGCCAAGGCAUUGCACCUACAGGCAGCUGGCUCCGGGAACAUCUCUGCUCUCUUCAUGUACAGGACAAGAUAGCAUAGUGAGUGGAUCCUCUGUACUCUGUGACUGUAGAAGCCAUUCAUGCUGAGACUGGGAAUUCUGUGACUGCUCAAUAGGGCACAGGCUAUAGCUUAGUACCUGGAUAAUCACUGGGUUGGGCACCAGAGGCUCAGAGCUCCCUGAUUUCCUGUGGUGGGUCAUUGUAGAGGGAUGCUUACACUGAGAACUUCACAGAUACUUUGUGUGGUUCAUAAAGCAGUUCAGGUGAGUGUUGCACUGACUGUGGCUAACCCAGGCAUUGAUCACUUUGUAAGAGAGGAGUUGAGGGUGUGAUAACACCAAAAUGAAACUAUCAACACAGAAUAUUUUACUGGGAAAGGCUCUCAUUUAUGAAUGAAGGUGAAAUAAAGACUUUCCAUAACAAACA
rnacentral:lncRNA from 1 species